CACAGCCCCCAAACCCCUUGUGCUGGGCAGAGAAUCAGGAAGGAAGUUUGGGGGUAAGAGGACGGAAACUGCCAACCAACGUGACAAAGAUCUGCACCCCUGCACCGUGGUCUGUGAUCUCUCCUGCCUGCACUCCCCCCCCACCGGCGGCCUCUGCCUGGAGCUGACAGUGCCUCCUUGGAGGUGAGAGUUGCCUGGCCUCCCUGCAGGCUGUGAAAAUUAAAUGAGCUUUGGAGCCCCCUGAAGCACCCAGGCUUGCACUUGGCAAUGUCUUCCUGGCUCUCCUCCACUCAGGCCAACGCUUCCUUGACCAGCAAAGCCAAGGCUGCCAUCACGGAGGGGGAGAAGGACCGUCCCUUUCCUGGCCCUUUGCCGGCUCUCCCCAGCCCUCCCCACCCCCAGCACAGGCAGGACGUCUGUCUCUCUGCUGAUUAUGAGAUAGCUCAUGGCUGUCAGG